rnacentral:rRNA from 1 species
GAGUAACCUGCCCCAGACUCUGGGAUAAGCCUUGGAAACGAGGUCUAAUACUGGAUAUGAGAUGCCCCUGCAUGGGGAGUGUCUGGAAAGAUUUAUCGGUCUGGGAUGGACUCGCGGCCUAUCAGCUUGUUGGUGGGGUAAUGGCCUACCAAGGCGACGACGGGUAGCCGGCCUGAGAGGGCGACCGGCCACACUGGGACUGAGACACGGCCCAGACUCCUACGGGAGGCAGCAGUGGGGAAUAUUGCACAAUGGGCGCAAGCCUGAUGCAGCGACGCCGCGUGAGGGAUGAAGGCCUUCGGGUUGUAAACCUCUUUCAGCAGGGAAGAAGCGCAAGUGACGGUACCUGCAGAAGAAGCGCCGGCUAACUACGUGCCAGCAGCCGCGGUAAUACGUAGGGCGCAAGCGUUGUCCGGAAUUAUUGGGCGUAAAGAGCUCGUAGGCGGUUUGUCGCGUCUGGUGUGAAAACUCAAGGCUCAACCUUGAGCUUGCAUCGGGUACGGGCAGACUAGAGUGCGGUAGGGGUGACUGGAAUU